UGCUAUAUCUCGCGGCACUUCAGAAAUAGGAAUAAAUAUCUAAGAAAUGUAUAUGAUCAGUUGCAGCACCGAAGUGGCCUGUGUGCAUAAGAAACAAGCAGGACGCAAAGCUCAACCAUGCACAAAUGAGCAGGAUUACUCGUGGAAAGAAAUACUUAAUUGCAAAAGGUACGGCAAUAUAUACAUGUAGAUAUGGAUCUACACAAGUUCUUACGUUGGAGG
rnacentral:lncRNA from 1 species